CCUACGGGAGGCAGCAGUGAGGAAUAUUGGUCAAUGGACGCAAGUCUGAACCAGCCAUGCCGCGUGCAGGAAGACGGCUCUAUGAGUUGUAAACUGCUUUUGUACGAGGGUAAACGCAGAUACGCGUAUCUGUCUGAAAGUAUCGUACGAAUAAGGAUCGGCUAACUCCGUGCCAGCAGCCGCGGUAAUACGGAGGAUUCAAGCGUUAUCCGGAUUUAUUGGGUUUAAAGGGUGCGUAGGCGGUAUGAUAAGUUAGAGGUGAAAUCCCGGGGCUCAACUUCGGAAUUGCCUCUGAUACUGUACGGCUAGAGAGUAGUUGCGGUAGGCGGAAUGUAUGGUGUAGCGGUGAAAUGCUUAGAGAUCAUACAGAACACCGAUUGCGAAGGCAGCUUACCAAGCUACUUCUGACGUUGAGGCACGAAAGCGUGGGGAGCAAACAGGAUUAGAUACCCCUGUAGUC
rnacentral:rRNA from 1 species